UGUGCCAGCCGCCGCGGUAAUACAGAGGGUGCGAGCGUUAAUCGGAUUUACUGGGCGUAAAGCGUGCGUAGGCGGCUUUUUAAGUCGGAUGUGAAAUCCCCGAGCUUAACUUGGGAAUUGCAUUCGAUACUGGGAAGCUAGAGUAUGGGAGAGGAUGGUAGAAUUCCAGGUGUAGCGGUGAAAUGCGUAGAGAUCUGGAGGAAUACCGAUGGCGAAGGCAGCCAUCUGGCCUAAUACUGACGCUGAGGUACGAAAGCAUGGGGAGCAAACAGGAUUAGAUACCCUGGUAGUCCAUGCCGUAAACGAUGUCUACUAGCCGUUGGGGCCUUUGAGGCUUUAGUGGCGCAGCUAACGCGAUAAGUAGACCGCCUGGGGAGUACGGUCGCAAGACUAAAACUCAAAUGAAUUGACGGGGGCCCGCACAAGCGGUGGAGCAUGUGGUUUAAUUCGAUGCAACGCGAAGAACCUUACCUGGCCUUGACAUACUAGAAACUUUCCAGAGAUGGAUUGGUGCCUUCGGGAAUCUAGAUACAGGUGCUGCAUGGCUGUCGUCAGCUCGUGUCGUGAGAUGUUGGGUUAAGUCCCGCAACGAGCGCAACCCUUUUCCUUGCUUGCCAGCAUUUCGGAUGGGAACUUUAAGGAUACUGCCAGUGACAAACUGGAGGAAGGCGGGGACGACGUCAAGUCAUCAUGGCCCUUACGGCCAGGGCUACACACGUGCUACAAUGGUCGGUACAAAGGGUUGCUACACAGCGAUGUGAUGCUAUCUCAAAAGCCGAUCGUAGUCCGGAUUGGAGUCUGCACUCGACUCAUGAGUCGAUCGCUAGUAUCGCGAUCAAAUGCCGCGGUGAAUACGUUCCUGGCCCUG
rnacentral:rRNA from 1 species